rnacentral:rRNA from 1 species
AGCGAACGCUGGCGGCAGGCCUAACACAUGCAAGUCGAACGAACCCUUCGGGGUUAGUGGCGGACGGGUGAGUAACACGUGGGAACGUGCCUUUAGGUUCGGAAUAACUCAGGGAAACUUGUGCUAAUACCGAAUGUGCCCUUCGGGGGAAAGAUUUAUCGCCUUUAGAGCGGCCCGCGUCCGAUUAGCUAGUUGGUGAGGUAAUGGCUCACCAAGGCUACGAUCAGUAGCUGGUCUGAGAGGAUGACCAGCCACAUUGGGACUGAGACACGGCCCAAACUCCUACGGGAGGCAGCAGUGGGGAAUCUUGCGCAAUGGGCGGAAGCCUGACGCAGCCAUGCCGCGUGGAUGACGAAGGUCUUAGGAUUGUAAAAUCCUUUCACCGGUAAAGAUAAUGACUGUAGCCGGAGAAGAAGCCCCGGCUAACUUCGUGCCAGCAGCCGCCGCCGUAA